rnacentral:rRNA from 1 species
AUACGUAGGGGGCGAGCGUUGUCCGGAAUGAUUGGGCGUAAAGGGCGCGUAGGCGGCCUGUUAAGUCUGGAGUGAAAGUCCUGUUUUCAAGAUGGGAAUUGCUUUGGAUACUGAUGGGCUUGAGUGCAGGAGAGGUUAUCGGAAUUCCCGGUGUAGCGGUGAAAUGCGUAGAGAUCGGGAGGAACACCAGUGGCGAAGGCGGGUAACUGGACUGCAACUGACGCUGAGGCGCGAAAGUGCGGGGAGCAAACAGGAUUAGAUACCCUGGUAGUCCACACUGUAAACGAUGAAUGCUAGGUGUAGGGGGUAUCGACCCCUUCUGUGCCGCAGUCAACACAAUAAGCAUUCCGCCUGGGGAGUACGGCCGCAAGGUUGAAACUCAAAUGAAUUGGCGGGG